rnacentral:rRNA from 1 species
CCUACGGGGGGCAGCAGUAGGGAAUUUUUCACAAUGGGCGAAAGCCUGAUGGAGCAAUGCCGCGUGAAUGAUGAAGGUCUUAUAGAUUGUAAAAUUCUUUUAUUUGGGAAGAAAAACUAAAGUAGGAAAUGACUUUAGUCUGACUGUACCAUUUGAAUAAGUAUCGGCUAACUAUGUGCCAGCAGCCGCGGUAAUACAUAGGAUGCAAGCGUUAUCCGGAUUUACUGGGCGUAAAACGAGCGCAGGCGGGUUAACAAGUUUGGUAUGAAAGGCUUUUGCUUAACGAAAGUUUGUAUCAAAAACUG